rnacentral:rRNA from 1 species
GACGAACGCUGGCGGCGUGCUUAACACAUGCAAGUCGAACGGAAAGGCCCUGCUUGCAGGGUGCUCGAGUGGCGAACGGGUGAGUAACACGUGGGUGAUCUGCCCCUUACUUUGGGAUAAGCCUGGGAAACUGGGUCUAAUACUGGAUAGGACCAUGCUGUAGGUGGUGUGGUGGAAAGAUUAGUUUCGGUAAGGGAUGAGCUCGCGGCCUAUCAGCUUGUUGGUGGGGUAAUGGCCUACCAAGGCGUCGACGGGUAGCCGGCCUGAGAGGGUGGACGGCCACAUUGGGACUGAGAUACGGCCCAGACUCCUACGGGAGGCAGCAGUGGGGAAUAUUGCACAAUGGGCGCAAGCCUGAUGCAGCGACGCCGCGUGGGGGAUGACGGCCUUCGGGUUGUACACUCCUUUCAGCCAUGACGAAGCCCUUGUGGUGACGGUAGUGGUAGAAGAAGCACCGGCUAACUACGUG